rnacentral:rRNA from 1 species
UGGGGAAUAUUGCACAAUGGACGAAAGUCUGAUGCAGCGACGCCGCGUGAGUGAUGAAGGCCUUCGGGUCGUAAAGCUCUGUCGUAUGGGACUAACACAAUGAAGGUACCAUGCAAGAAAGGAUCGGCUAACUUCGUGCCAGCAGCCGCGGUAAGACGAGGGAUCCUAGCGUUGUUCGGAAUUAUUGGGCGUAAAGCGGGUGUAGGCGGCUUUAUAAGUCAGGUGUGAAAGCCCAGGGCUCAACCCUGGAAGUGCACUUGAUACUGUAAAGCUUGAAUGUGGUAGAGGUUACUGGAAUUGCUGGUGUAGUGGUGAAAUACGUAGAUAUCAGCAGGAAUACCGGAGGCGAAGGCGGGUAACUGGGCCAACAUUGACGCUGAGACCCGAAAGCGUGGGGAUCAAACAGGAUUAGAUACCCCGGUAGUCCCUGAGCGGGCUGGCAAGGCGCAU